CCAACUGCCUUCUCUCAACUGACUCAACUGCUCAGAAAUUUCUGGUGGGAGCAAAAGGGGUUGAUUUCUGCCAUUCCUGGAGCCGUUCCCAUCACUGAGUGAGAGAGAGGAGCUGGGAGAGGAGCUGCUUCCUUCUCGCCUCUGCUUUCCUCUGCCGGGAUUAGCAGAAAGGUUGAUCUCCAGAUGAUGCAGUUAAGGGCUUCAAGGACACCAGCAGGCCUUUCUCUCCUGGGCGCCUUCAGCAUCGUGCCAGGUGCAGGAUAAAGAUCAUGAUGGAGGGCCUGGUCUCCACUUGGCCUAGCAGCCUUCCCUGAGCUGGGCCUGUGCCAAAGUAAAAGUGCCCAGGAGAAGGAGUGGGAAUCGGAAAAGAAUGAAGGCAAAGCAAGCAAUGGAGGAUCCUGAUAGCUGUGUCUCCUGAUCCAUACUACAGUCCUGUAAGUGUUGAAGAACCUCUUGAAUUUGUCUUCCCAGAAGAUGGAGAGGUAAGUCUGACUCCUACCACCUCCAGAGGCCAGACUGUCAGAGAGCUACAUAGGAAAAGACAGCAGUCCACAGAUAUCAAAGCAAAGAAGAGCUUCCCUUUCAACAUCUAAGAAAGGAUCCCAUCCUGCUUCUGAUGCACUGUUAUCAACGCGAGUGCUGAGGGUUGCCUCGGCCGGGUAAAUAUGCAUUGACACAAUGACAAAUCUCUCCGGUGGCUGAGCGGAAUGGUGGGCCCUAGAGAAGGCAGGAAGAGGCUGAGGAGAGCAACCCCACAACAGAUGCCCAUUCCCUUUUUGACUAGGUUUGCAAAAGCCUCGUGUACACUCAAGGUCAUGAGGCUUUUGCAAAGAGGGGGCAUAGUUUCCCGGGAAACGACUUCACCCCAGGAGUGGAAUCCACACCUUAGUUUACAGAGCUCCCUUCAAACUAGUUACUGAAGUUGCAGCCCAGGUUUGCACCCGUUCCCUCUGUCCCAUCUCUUGAUUCCGAGUCUGGGUCCCCAACCCCCCUCCCUUCCCCUGGCUCUGCAUCCAGUGCGGGGUGCAAAUGUCACGUCCAGUCCUGGCAGGGUGCAAGAAACAAGGCUGGACCCCACAGUGAACCAUUCUGUAAGGCCAAGCAGGGGGGCAGAGGGUGCGCUAGUGAAAGCGAUCCCCGCCCUCUCUUGGCCUUCUGCAGGGACACCUCGGCAUCCACUCACCCCCCUCAAGUGACAGUGUGGGAUUAGCCGGUCGCCAUUUGGGGCCGAGUAGGAAUUUUCCCCAUCCACCCAGAUUGGCCUGGAGGUGGCUGGUUUUUUGCCUACUCUGCACUGUUGCACUGGAAGGGAUUUCUGAUCUGGCGGAUGUUAGGAGUGGUGCCGCUAAAUAGUGUAGCCCCUUGGUCACCAUGGCAGGUCCGAGGAGGGGAUGUAGUGCCCCACCCCAUUGGUGGCAGGUGCGAUUUCCCCCAGCUACACUCUAGUUCUCUGCUAAAAUGAGUCAAUAAAGUGAUGGCCCUAGUUUCAACCCA